rnacentral:lncRNA from 1 species
CUUGCAAUUCAGCUUCUUGUGCAGACAUAGUUGAUGGUAAAGAUGAUGAUUUGACAAUUUCAUCUGUUGUGGUUACGGCAUAUCCUGUAUGGUAUCUUCCUUCUUCAUCAGCAUAUCUUGAGCCGUCCACAAACAGGGUGAGAUCGGGAUCUACCAAUGGGUCUUCAUGCACAGUUGGUAGAUGUGUCGUUUCCAUUUUCAUCUGUUCAAAACAGUCAUGAGGUGUAUCUGGGUCGUAGUCAUUCACUAUGGUUAAAUCUUGGAACUCAUUCUCCAGGAAAUGACGCGGCCAUGCUUUUAGGUGCUCAGUUGUUGGAUAUUUGACAACACCAUUUUCCUGUAGCUGUGAUUCGUCCAUAGUGGCCCAUGCUUUUGCCAUAGGCCCAAGAUCA